CACACCGCCCGUCAAGCGAUGGAAGCUGGGAGCACCCGAAGUCGGUCAACCAACCCGCAAGGGGGGCAGCCGCCGAAGGUGAGACUAGUGACUGGCGCU
rnacentral:rRNA from 1 species